AACAUUGAUUGUUCUCAAAUGAGCCACACCGCAGAGACAGAGGAUAAUUCUCCUUCUCCCAAGUCAGUAUUUACUGCCUUUUUUUCUUCUUUAGCUCUUCCAUUUUAAACAUAAUUUAGCUGUCUUUUUCCCCCCUUCUGCUGCUGGGAAGAGAAAGGGUUGGAGGGGGAGGGGAAGGCAAAAAGAAAAGGAGGAUUAGAGGCUUGACCUGUUUCUCGGGAAGAGAUGCCACAUCCCUCUCUCAGAUGUGCUUCGUGACCAGGCAGGGUACAAUUAAAAGCACAAUAAUUUGCUUGUUAUUCAAGUCAGGCAUUAGUCCGGGUAAUGGCGUGCUUGGUGGAGAGAUGGAUUUCCUUGUUAGGCAAUAAGCGCAGGAUUAACUGAAUUCUCCAUGGAGAAAUCUUGAUUUGUUCAAGGUCUUUCAUGUUUUCUACAGAGAAGGGAUUAUGUCUUCUUAAAGAGGGGCCUUGCUUAAAAAGCUACAAAGUAUAAGAAAAGGAUUUAGGGCAGAGGGGCCUGUGGUUAAGUAGCUGAGGGGUACAGGGAAUUUUAGAGCAAGGGAUUAUUUAAAGCCAUAAAGUUCAAAAAAUAAUUGGUUUAGCACUACUGGGUCAGUGCUGGCAGGUUCUGAGGGCAGAAUCCAGGGCCUGGCACAUCCUAGGCAAGUUCCCUACCACUGAGCUACAUCCCCAGCACCCAGCCACUCAGCUUUAAAUCCAAGGACACCGUUAGAGAGGAUAUGAAGUAAAGUGCUGACUUCACCAGCCACCCUCAUGAAACCAGUGAGGCUCAACCAGCCCAGCGACAACUUUGUCACAGUCCAGAGAUGUUUUCAUCACAUCUGGAAAUAUGCCACUGACAUCAAACUACAGAGGCUGGAGUUGUGAGGGCAGGUGCUUUUAAAUAGAUCAUAAUCCAUAGACUAGAAGCCAACACAAGAAAUUCCACUCCAAAGUGAUGCUCAUGGAGAGGGUAAGAAACCCUGGUCUAUGCAUCUAUGCAAGACAAUUUCUCUGCUUGGGUAAAUCAAGGUCUUAUUAUCUCUCUCUCAAUCUCUCUGUCUGUCUCUCUGUCUCUCUGUCUCUCUCUCUCUGUCUCUCUCUCUGUGUCUCUCUCUCUCUCUCAUAAUUCAUCCUUUCAUAAGUCAAAGGAGCAUGUUUCUACUUCCCUUCCCUUUUCGUUACCAGACAUUUUUUACAAAUCAAGAAAGAAGGGCAUUGCCCUUGGCAUACUAAGGCUGC
rnacentral:lncRNA from 1 species